AGUGAACGCUGGCGGCGUGCCUAAUACAUGCAAGUCGAACGGAGUGGCGCACGGGUGAGUAAUAUAUAGCUAAUCUGCCCCUUGCUGGAGGACACCAGUUAGAAAUGACUGCUAAUACUCCAUAGCAAGGGAUGGGACUAUAUCGUAUCAGCUAGUCGGUGGGGUAACGGCCUACCGAGGCUAUGACGCGUAACUGGUCUGAGAGGAUGAUCAGUCAAAUGGGAACGGAGACACGGUUCGGAAUCCUACGGGAGGCAGCAGUAGGGAAUAGUGCGCAAGGGGGGAAAGCCUGACGGGGCAACGGCGCGUGGAGGAUGACAAUUUUCGAAGCGUAAACUCCUUUUGUUAGGGAAGCGGUACCUAACGAAUAAGCACCGGCUAACUCCGUGCCAGCAGCCGCGGUAAUUC
rnacentral:rRNA from 1 species